GACGAACGCUGGCGGCGUGCUUAACACAUGCAAGUCGAACGGAAAGGCCCUGCUUGCAGGGUGCUCGAGUGGCGAACGGGUGAGUAACACGUGGGUGAUCUGCCCCUUACUUUGGGAUAAGCCUGGGAAACUGGGUCUAAUACUGGAUAGGACCAUGCUGUAGGUGGUGUGGUGGAAAGAUUAGUUUCGGUAAGGGAUGAGCUCGCGGCCUAUCAGCUUGUUGGAGGGGUAAUGGCCUACCAAGGCGUCGACGGGUAGCCGGCCUGAGAGGGUGGACGGCCACAUUGGGACUGAGAUACGGCCCAGACUCCUACGGGAGGCAGCAGUGGGGAAUAUUGCACAAUGGGCGCAAGCCUGAUGCAGCGACGCCGCGUGGGGGAUGACGGCCUUCGGGUUGUAAACUCCUUUCAGCCAUGACGAAGCCCUUGUGGUGACGGUAGUGGUAGAAGAAGCACCGGCUAACUACGUG
rnacentral:rRNA from 1 species